GGCUCUGGGAGAGAGCGAGAGAGAAAUCCGGUUAAAAUCAGAGUCGGAGGGAGGUUUAACCACAGAUCGGUUCCGAUCGGAUUAUUCCUUAAAGGGGACGCGCCAUUGUCAAGAGAACGGAGCCAGGGGCCCGAGGGCGGGGACCGGCGGCGCUGGAGGAGCGAGGCAGCUGUACUAGGACUGGGAACGGCCUAGAACAUUCCAUAUUCUGCUUCACACACGGUGACUCACUCACUACUGCUUUGUACCAGUGUGCCCACUCGAGUGCCUGUAAAGUACAAGCUCCAGAUCAAAAAAGCUUCUAGAUGGAUCCUUUCCAAACUUGGUGUCUUUUCUACAAACUCUGUGCCUCAACAACCAUUUCUAAGUGCUUCAGCGCCAGUCAGCAAAGUAAAUAAAUACUGUGCUUCUUCCAACUUUCAUUCCACUUGGGGAAAAAAAAA
rnacentral:ncRNA from 2 species